rnacentral:rRNA from 1 species
UACGUAGGGUGCGAGCGUUGUCCGGAAUUAUUGGGCGUAAAGAGCUCGUAGGCGAUCCGUCACGUCGGGUGUGAAAAUCCAGGGCUCAACCCUGGACCUGCACCCGAUACGGGCGGACUAGAGUUCGGUAGGGGAGACUGGAAUUCCUGGUGUAGCGGUGAAAUGCGCAGAUAUCAGGAGGAACACCGGUGGCGAAGGCGGGUCUCUGGGCCGAUACUGACGCUGAGGAGCGAAAGCGUGGGGAGCGAACAGG